rnacentral:rRNA from 1 species
UACGUAGGGUGCGAGCGUUGUCCGGAAUUAUUGGGCGUAAAGGGCUCGUAGGCGGUCUGUUGCGUCGGGAGUGAAAACUCAGGGCUUAACCCUGAGCCUGCUUCCGAUACGGGCAGACUAGAGGUAUGCAGGGGAGAACGGAAUUCCUGGUGUAGCGGUGAAAUGCAUAGAUAUCAGGAGGAACACCGGUGGCGAAGGCGGGUCUCUGGGCCGAAACUGACGCUGAGGAGCGAAAGCGUGGGGAGCAAACAGG